rnacentral:rRNA from 1 species
CCGGCUUACCAACCCGAUGCAAACUGCGAAUACCGGAGAAUGUUAUCACGGGAGACACACGGCGGGUGCUAACGUCCGUCGUGAAGAGGGAAACAACCCAGACCGCCAGCUAAGGUCCCAAAGUCAUGGUUAAGUGGGAAACGAUGUGGGAAGGCCCAGACAGCCAGGAUGUUGGCUUAGAAGCAGCCAUCAUUUAAAGAAAGCGUAAUAGCUCACUGGUCGAGUCGGCCUGCGCGGAAGAUGUAACGGGGCUAAACCAUGCACCGAAGCUGCGGCAGCGACACUGUGUGUUGUUGGGUAGGGGAGCGUUCUGUAAGCCUGUGAAGGUGUGUCGUGAGGCAUGCUGGAGGUAUCAGAAGUGCGAAUGCUGACAUAAGUAACGAUAAAGCGGGUGAAAAGCCCGCUCGCCGGAAGACCAAGGGUUCCUGUCCAACGUUAAUCGGGGCAGGGUGAGUCGACCCCUAAGGCGAGGCCGAAAGGCGUAGUCGAUGGGAAACGGGUUAAUAUUCCCGUACUUGGUGUUACUGCGAAGGGGGGACGGAGAAGGCUAUGUUGGCCGGGCGACGGUUGUCCCGGUUUAAGCGUGUAGGUGUGUGUUCCAGGUAAAUCCGGUUCACUUUAACACUGAGGCGUGACGACGAGGCACUACGGUGCUGAAGCAACAAAUGCCCUGCUUCCAGGAAAAGCCUCUAAGCAUCAGGUAACAUCAAAUCGUACCCCAAACCGACACAGGUGGUCAGGUAGAGAAUACCAAGGCGCUUGAGAGAACUCGGGUGAAGGAACUAGGCAAAAUGGUGCCGUAACUUCGGGAGAAGGCACGCUGACACGUAGGUGAAGUGAUUUACUCAUGGAGCUGAAGUCAGUCGAAGAUACCAGCUGGCUGCAACUGUUUAUUAAAAACACAGCACUGUGCAAACACGAAAGUGGACGUAUACGGUGUGACGCCUGCCCGGUGCCGGAAGGUUAAUUGAUGGGGUCAGCGCAAGCGAAGCUCCUGAUCGAAGCCCCGGUAAACGGCGGCCGUAACUAUAACGGUCCUAAGGUAGCGAAAUUCCUUGUCGGGUAAGUUCCGACCUGCACGAAUGGCGUAAUGAUGGCCAGGCUGUCUCCACCCGAGACUCAGUGAAAUUGAACUCGCUGUGAAGAUGCAGUGUACCCGCGGCAAGACGGAAAGACCCCGUGAACCUUUACUAUAGCUUGACACUGAACAUUGAGCCUUGAUGUGUAGGAUAGGUGGGAGGCUUUGAAGUGUGGACGCCAGUCUGCAUGGAGCCGACCUUGAAAUACCACCCUUUAAUGUUUGAUGUUCUAACGUGGACCCGUUACCCGGGUUGCGGACAGUGUCUGGUGGGUAGUUUGACUGGGGCGGUCUCCUCCUAAAGAGUAACGGAGGAGCACGAAGGUUGGCUAAUCCUGGUCGGACAUCAGGAGGU